rnacentral:sRNA from 1 species
AACUGCGCUCACUGGACUCUCUGUUGCGAA